rnacentral:tRNA from 1 species
UCCCUCUCAGUCCAGUGGUUAAGAUGCCGCACUUCCACUGUGGAGGCUCAGGUUCAAUCCCUGGUCAGGGAA